UUUUCUGAUGCUGGUGUCACUGCUGGGCAGUAUGCGAGGGCCAGAGGGAGAUUCAGACGCACUGAUUGUAAUUACAGAACUGCCAAGGCCUCCAGGAAAAAUAGCAAGCAUCAGGCUGCAUUAAUCUUCACUGGAUCUCCCGUGACUUCUGCGCGAUUUCAGAGGGACCAGAAGAAAUCGCUCUGUGUAGGAAAUCCAGCUUGCAAAGCCACCAUUUGCUCACAGAAGGUUUCUCCCGCUACUCGUCUCCUUUUAAAAACAGGUUCCUCCUACCGUACGCAAGAUGAACUUUUUUUUUUCCCAAGGAGUAAUUAGCUCCUGUAGUUUCAUUGCCCCCUGAAAUCAUUGCUUCUGGUGAGAGGAACAGCAGUAAUGAAGUACUACUUAACAUUCACACAGGGCUUUUCAUCAGUCACUCUCCAGGCUUUUCACAAAAGAAGGUGUCCUUUUGCAGAUGGGGACACAGAGACAGCAUGACUACGAAACCUUUGGGAAGUCACUAUAAGGUGGUAGCCCAGGCGGGCUGGCCACACAAUCUGGUGGCCCCUCCAUGGACCACAUUGCCCCCCUCACCACAGUUGCCAUAGCAGCCUCUAUAGAUGCCACUGCUAGAAGAUGAUCUCCAAUUCACGCAUCACAGAUGCAGCUUUGCCACCCACAGAUGAGCCCCUUGAAGUGUGGAAAAGCCACUGGACGAAAUAUCCUUCUACACUCAUGAUCACCAAGAGAAGCCCAGGCCUCCUGAAGGGUCUUCAGAGGCUUGCACGAAACCUGAGGAAGUUUCAGGCAAAGCGGGAAUGAGAAAUGUGGCCACUUGCCUGUUGGACCAAGCUCUGUCCAAUCUGUCUGACGUGAGGAAGACCCAAGAAAUGAGUGCUGAGUAUUAUCCAAAUGCAUGAAUCUCACUAUCUCCAAUGAGAGCUGACCUGCACAUUUUUGGACAGCUUGAUAUUUCCUGGACAGAGUUAUAGGACAGUGGUGGGCUCUCCACAGCCAUUUUGUGCGCUGUGGAGUCCCCACUUGGCUGGCUGGAAGGCAGACAAAGCUUGGGCUGUGUGAGCAUCCCCAUUGCAAGAGUCUCCUUGCAGUGCUUCAACACGUCUUGAAAUUACAAACUCCAAGGCUGAUAUUUUUCAGACCCAGUCUCUUACCCAAGGAUGGAUUUUUAUUAUUUUGUUUUUAUUUUUGAAAGCUUGAGCAAGCAAGGGCUUGGUUGUUUAAGAUACUUGGGACUGGGGGAGUGCUUUAUGAUUAGUGGAAGAAACAAUUUGUGCCUUUUCUUAACAGUUCCAGUGCUGAAAUUACUGUGGAUAGAGAGCUGAAAGGCAAAUAAUGUGAGGCAAGGUUUGUAGGAAGAGGCAAUAUCUUUUAUUAAACUAAAGAAUAUAGCCGAAAAAAACAAACCAAACCUAAACAGCUUUCCAGGUAUAUGGGCUUGCACACCUGAAAAUGUAUCCGUAGUUACAGCAAUAUAAAGCCAAAUAAAUGAUAGUCCUUCUCUGUAAAAAUCUGCGUU
rnacentral:lncRNA from 1 species